GACGGAGGAUGCAAGCGAUAUACGGAAUUAUUGGGCGUAAAGGGGGCGUAGGUGGUCAGACAAGUCCCAUGUCAAAGCAUGGUGCUUAACGCCAUAAAGGCGUGGGAAACUGUGUGACUAGAGUCCAGCAGGGGCAGGAGGAAUUCCCGGUUUAGCGGUGAAAUGCGUAGAUACCGGGAAGAACACCAGUGGCGCUAGCGUUCUGCUGGGCUGUAACUGACACUGAGGCACUAAAGCUAGGGGAGCGAAAGGG
rnacentral:rRNA from 1 species